UUUCCCUGUAAUGCAUUUUAAGAUUCCAGUUAAUUGGUUAAUUGCAGGAAUUCGAUCCUAUUUUGUCCGCCUUUUCUCUCUGAAACAUUCUUGGUGAGUUUUUCAUAGCUGGGAAUUCUGAACUCUAAGCCUAGGGGUAGGGACUGAGGGCCGAGGGGGCAGAUUUGGGAAGAGGAAUGCCUCAUCAAGUCUGCUUGCAGUUCUAGGGUCAGUCUUGUGGGGUACCACCAAUCCCGGGGACCCAGUUGCCUAGCCAUGACCACACCAACAAGAACGAGGGUGAAAAUAAUAAGACACAAGGCUGGAGAGAUGACUCAGAGGUUAAGAGCAUUUGCUGCUUUUACAGAGGACCAGGGUUCAAUUCCCAGCACCCACAGUGUAGCUCACGAUCAUCUAUAGCCCCAUCUCCAGGGAUCCGACGGACACUUGUGGUAACAAUGAAGAAACAAAUCCACACAGCAAGCAGGAAUGCGAGAGAUGAACACCCCCCCCCCCCCGUCUCUCUGCAAAGGGGUGGCUCCUGACCAUCUGGGGACCAGUUGUACCUGAUGCCAGGCUAUGCUGACCUGUACACACUUGCCUUCUGCUGGUCCCAAUUAGGCAAUGUGGAAGAGAGAACUCUUCAGCUCCCAGCAACGGUGACAUCCCAUGGACUACAUGUGACAGAGGUCACCUUCACACACCUGCAGCUGGCCCUCCCUGGAGGUGGUCAUAUGGGUGACUCAAGAUGCAGAAGUCUCAGCUACCUCUCCUGCAUCGUGUCUUCCUUGCACGCCGCUAGGCUCCUGCCAUGACAGAACGGACUGAACCGCUGAACUGUGAAUCAGCCUCAGCCUCGAUUCUGCCAGCGGACAAGAUAAAAACGCCCUCCUUUAAUAAUUAACGAGUAGGCACCGGCGCCCCUGGCGUGGGCCCCCAGGAGGCCUCUCGCGGUGGCUUUGCCUCCUGGAAGCCGAGGCGCGUGUGUACAGCCACGUGCCAUCAGCCCGGUCUGGGGCGCAGCACUGAGUCACAGCGGCUGACCCAGCAAAGUGCUGAGAGUGUGACCGGAAUGAAGGGUUGCUCCGACUGUCUCCGAGGUGGCGUGGCAGAUCAAAUCACAGCGGAUCAGGCGCCGAGAUGUUGCCUUGCUCUGAGUGACAGAAGUUAAUAAUUAGUGACAAUGAUUGACAGAUACACUCCAUCUGCUGCUCCGACGCCUAGGAGCAGUUAUUCCACAACUGUCUGCGGGCACAAUGAACUCCCCCGGGAGCGCGGGCUGGCCUGUGAUUGACAGCUGCCUCCAAGAGAGACAGGCCACUGACGGAAAGUCGCUGUCAGCAGAAGCGCU